rnacentral:lncRNA from 1 species
CUGACGGAGUUUUGCUCUUGUUGCCCAAGCUGGAGUGCAAUGGUGCGAUCUUCGCUUACUGCAACCUCUGCUUCCUGGGUUCAAGUGAUUCCCCUGCCUCAGCCUCCCGAGUAGCAGGGAUUACAGACACAUAUACUCACAGAAAUGAGUUAUUUAAAGAAGACGGUCCAGAUUCCACAGUCCAAAAAAAAAAGAGGUUUGCCCUGCUUCUGAAGGAGUCAGGGUAUGAAUGCAGAGGUCUUCCUGUUGGCUCACAUAUCAGAUCUUCAACGUCAACAUUAAAUGCGAGUGAUGCUUCCCCCUCUGUGAAUGUGGCUUUGGGUAUGGCUAAUCCACACCCUGCACUCUGGCCUUCAGAAGCCCAGGGAGAGAAGCCUCCCAGAAGCAACCUUCCAGAACCUUCUCCAUCCUCCCACCGACCUCCCCAGCCCCUGUCCUCUCUUUGAAUCUCGUUGUCAAGUUCUUCCCGCAGACACCUGGCUCCUUGAGGGGAGGUGCAGCUUUCAUCUGACCAUGCAGGCGUGCUUUGCAGUGGGUAGAGCAGUGCUUUCCUCCUCCCAGCUGCACACUGGAAUCACCUGGAGAGUCCAGAAACUUCCCGCCUCAGUGAAAGAACAUCAGUGUAUCAGCACAGCAAAUAUUCCAAAUGCCAGGCUGGAUUCCCUCCAAUUACCAGGACCUCCAGGCUUCUCCUCCUUUCAAGAACUUUCUGACCCUGGAUCCAGUCUAAAUGUUGGUU